GGCGCACGGGUGAGUAACGCGUAUGCAACCUACCCUGUACAGGGGGAUAGCCCGGGGAAACCCGGAUUAAUGCCGGAUAGCCUCUCGAGCCCUCGGGCUCGUGAGAAAAGGUAGCUUCGGCCUCUGGCCGAGGAGGAGCCCGCGGCGGAUUAGCUUGUUGGUGGGGUAACGGCUCACCAAGGCGACGAUCCGUAGCUGGUCUGAGAGGACGAUCAGCCACACUGGGACUGAGACACGGCCCAUACUCCUACGGGAGGCAGCAGUGGGGAAUCUUGCGCAAUGGGCGAAAGCCUGACGCAGCGACGCCGCGUGCGGGAAGAAGGCCUUCGGGUUGUAAACCGCUUUCAGGAAGGACGAA
rnacentral:rRNA from 1 species